rnacentral:ncRNA from 1 species
ACUUUAAAAAAACAAGGCAAAGAGAGGCCGAAUCUUAUUGAGUUGUCUUGUUUGACUAGUAUUGGGAUGUUGUGUGUAAGUCUGUGAUUUAUUUAACCCGUAGUUUUCACUCACCUGGUAACUGAUUUCGCAUAAUUCAUAUUAUGUUAAAUAAUAUGAAUAAAGUGAUGAUUGGUUGCAACACAGAAUAAUAACUGAAUAUUUACCUAUUUCGUAUCUCGAUUUAGU